UGAGGAAUAUUGGUCAAUGGACGCGAGUCUGAACCAGCCAAGUAGCGUGAAGGAUGACUGCCCUAUGGGUUGUAAACUUCUUUUAUAAGGGAAUAAAGUCACCCACGUGUGGGUGUUUGUAUGUACCUUAUGAAUAAGCAUCGGCUAACUCCGUGCCAGCAGCCGCGGUAAUACGGAGGAUGCGAGCGUUAUCCGGAUUUAUUGGGUUUAAAGGGAGCGUAGACGGGUCGUUAAGUCAGCUGUGAAAGUUUGAGGCUCAACCUUAAAAUUGCAGUUGAUACUGGCGUCCUUGAGUACGGUUGAGGCAGGCGGAAUUCGUGGUGUAGCGGUGAAAUGCUUAGAUAUCACGAAGAACCCCGAUUGCGAAGGCAGCCUGCUAAACCGCCACUGACGUUGAGGCUCGAAAGUGUGGGUAUCAAACAGGAUUAGAUACCCUGGUAGUCCACACGGUAAACGAUGGAUACUCGCUGUUGGCGAUAGACUGUCAGCGGCUUAGCGAAAGCGUUAAGUAUCCCACCUGGGGAGUACGCCGGCAACGGUGAAACUCAAAGGAAUUGACGGGGGCCCGCACAAGCGGAGGAACAUGUGGUUUAAUUCGAUGAUACGCGAGGAACCUUACCCGGGCUUGAAUUGCAGACGAAUUGCUUGGAAACAGGCAAGCCGCAAGGCGUCUGUGAGGGUGCUGCAUGGUUGUCGUCAGCUCGUGCCGUGAGGUGUCGGCUUAAGUGCCAUAACGAGCGCAACCCUCGUGUCCAGUUACUAGCAGGUUAUGCUGAGGACUCUGGACAGACUGCCAUCGUAAGAUGUGAGGAAGGUGGGGAUGACGUCAAAUCAGCACGGCCCUUACGUCCGGGGCUACACACGUGUUACAAUGGGGGGUACAGCAGGCAGCUACCGGGCGACCGGAUGCCAAUCCCGAAAGCCUCUCUCAGUUCGGACUGGAGUCUGCAACCCGACUCCACGAAGCUGGAUUCGCUAGUAAUCGCGCAUCAGCCACGGCGCGGUGAAUACGUUCCC
rnacentral:rRNA from 1 species